GGAGUGGCCGAUGCCUGAUUAGCUAGUUGGUGGGGUAAAGGCCUACCAAGGCGACGAUCAGUAGUUGGUCUGAGAGGACGACCAGCCACACUGGGACUGAGACACGGCCCAGACUCCUACGGGAGGCAGCAGUGGGGAAUUUUGGACAAUGGGCGAAAGCCUGAUCCAGCAAUGCCGCGUGAGUGAAGAAGGCCUUCGGGUUGUAAAGCUCUUUCAGUCGAGAAGAAAAGAUUGUGAUUAAUAAUCACAAUUCAUGACGGUAUCGACAGAAGAAGCACCGGCUAACUACGUGCCAGCAGCCGCGGUAAUACGUAGGGUGCGAGCGUUAAUCGGAAUUACUGGGCGUAAAGGGUGCGCAGGCGGCUUUGUAAGUCAGAUGUGAAACCCCCGGG
rnacentral:rRNA from 1 species